GGUGGACGCCUUGGCACCAGGAGCCGAUGAAGGACGUAGGAGGCUGCGAUAAGCCUCGGGGAGCUGUC
rnacentral:rRNA from 1 species